GUUCGCGUAGCUCAGCAGGAUAGAGCAACGGCCUUCUAAGCCGUCGGUCAGGGGUUCGAAUCCCUUCGCGAACGCCA
rnacentral:tRNA from 1 species